rnacentral:rRNA from 1 species
CCCCUAGUAACUGCGAGUGAAGCGGGAAAAGCUCAAAUUUAAAAUCUGGCAGUCUUUGGCUGUCCGAGUUGUAAUCUAGAGAAGUGUUAUCCGCGCUGGACCGUGUACAAGUCUCCUGGAAUGGAGCGUCAUAGAGGGUGAGAAUCCCGUCUUUGACACGGACUACCAGGGCUUUGUGAUGCGCUCUCGAAGAGUCGAGUUGUUUGGGAAUGCAGCUCAAAAUGGGUGGUAAAUUCCAUCUAAAGCUAAAUAUUGGCGAGAGACCGAUAGCGAACAAGUACCGUGAGGGAAAGAUGAAAAGAACUUUGGAAAGAGAGUUAAACAGUACGUGAAAUUGCUGAAAGGGAAACGCUUGAAGUCAGUCGCGUUGUCCAGGGAUCAACCUUGCUUUUGCUUGGUGCACUUUCUGGUUGACGGGUCAGCAUCAAUUUUGACUAUUGGAAAAAGAUUAAGGGAAUGUGGCAUCUUUGGAUGUGUUAUAGCCCUUGGUUGCAUACAAUGGUUGGGAUUGAGGAACUCAGCACGCCGCAAGGCCGGGUUUUUAACCACGUACGUGCUUAGGAUGCUGGCAUAAUGGCUUUAAUCGACCCGUCUUGAAACACGGACCAAGGAGUCUAACAUGCCUGCGAGUGUUUGGGUGGAAAACCCGAGCGCGUAAUGAAAGUGAAAGUUGAGAUCCCUGUCGUGGGGAGCAUCGACGCCCGGACCAGAUCUUUUGUGACGGUUCCGCGGUAGAGCAUGUAUGUUGGGACCCGAAAGAUGGUGAACUAUGCCUGAAUAGGGUGAAGCCAGAGGAAACUCUGGUGGAGGCUCGUAGCGAUUCUGACGUGCA